AGCGAACGCUGGCGGCAGGCCUAACACAUGCAAGUCGAACGGAUCCUUCGGGAUUAGUGGCGGACGGGUGAGUAACUCGUGGGAACGUGCCCUUUGGUUCGGAACAACUCCGGGAAACUUGAUCUAACACCGGAUGUGCCCAUCGGCGGAAAGGUUUAUCGCCAUUGGAGCGUCUCGCGUCUGAUUAGCUAGUUGGUGAGGUAAAGGCUCACCAAGGCGAUGAUCAGUAGCUGGUCUGAGAGGAUGAUCAGCCACAUUGGUACUGAGACACGGCCCAAACUCCUACGUGAGGCAGCAGUGGGGAAUCUUGCGCAAUGGGCGAAAGCCUGACGCAGCCAUGCCGCGUGAAUGAUGAAGGUCUUAGGAUUGUAAAAUUCUUUCACCGGGGACGAUAAUGACGGUACCCGGAGAAGAAGCCCCGGCUAACUUCGUGCCAGCCGCCGCGGUAA
rnacentral:rRNA from 1 species